AAAUCAAAGUGCUGCACUGCCUUCAUGUUGUGUUUGGACCCAAUUAAGUCCUCGCCUGUGAAUAAUAACAGAAAAUGUUAAAUAUUCGAAGAAAAGAAAAGACAUGACCUGACCUGCUGAGGUCACCUGAAGCAAGGUGUGAGUGGUGGUUGAAACACCUGGGAAGAAUCACAGAGUGGACUGUGACAGUUGGUGUCAUAGGCUACCACUUUUGGUCAAUGAUGGCCGUUUACAGUGGACAUAGAUGGGCUCUUUACUCCUCUUUCAGACCAUCUGUGUCCUCUGUCCAAAAACAUUGAUGUCUUCGGCGAGUGGCCUUUGACCUUUGGUGCAGAUGUGCACCUGAAUGUUGUGUUGUGCCAUGUGUUUGUGGAGUGGCUGUUUGGUUCGUCCUGAUGAUUACUGUGGCCCAGCCCAUUGUAACACGCUGUAACUGUGUGUGUGUGUGUGAGAGAGGAUGAAGUGUCUCUCUUUUAUAUAUGCCUAAGUUUUGUUGUUUAGCAGUGUGUUUCAUUUUGUAUUUUUAUUUAUUUUAUUUCUAAGAUAAAACUGCAAAAUUUCAGAGACGAAAACAUAAAUUUAGGACUGUGUGUGAAUUUUAUAGGUAGAAUAUCUGCACAUUUAAUCACGUUUUCCCAGUUUAAGGAACCAUGAUGUUUCCAAGGCAUGUAAGAGUCUUUGUAUGCAGUGGUGAACAUCAUGGCACUGAUGUACAUGACUGAGACCUCCGUCAUUAAAUUGUUGCAAAUUUGACUCUAUUCGCAUUUUUUAAUUUGUGUUUUUAAUGCAAGUUGUAAUUAGUUGUUAGUUAGAUAAGUUAUCUAUUAUUAUAAUACCUAAAUUGUAUGAUUAUACCGCCUCUCCAUCCUAUGACUACAUCCUUAAUGUGGUUUGUAAACAUGUGAAUGUGGGCGUAAAAGAAGAAAUUAUUAAUCUGGACGUUUUCAGUGGGAGAAACUAGCCCACUGAAAACAUCCAGAUGAACAGAAUCAACCUGGCAUUUCCUUACCUGGAUGAUUGAGCAUGAAUCAAGACAAAUUAUUAAUCAAAGUAUUAAAUAUUCAUGUUGAAGUACUGACUGUGUGUCAGAGGUCUUAGGAGGGCUGCACAGUAGACACCACAGCGUCCAGGAGAUGGAGCCAGAGCUACUCUGCUGCUUUCCCUCCACCUCCCAGAGGGGGCGCUGCUGCUCCUCUGAAGGAGCUCAGCUUCAGGAUGUUAACCUGAGGUCACCCAGGUCUGACUCCCGAGUACUGGGACUCUACCAGCACUCAUGUGCUGCGUGAGUGUGUGUGUGUGUGUUUUUACAGUUUUUCUUGAAUGCUGCAUGACAGCAAACACAUAGGACUGAACAGAGGCACUUGUGGUCAAAGUGACACAUUUUAUUUGCAAAAGGCUCUAACUGUGCCAAAACAUUUAAAAUGUGAAACAAAAGAAAAUUUUUCUUUCAAACAACAACUUGUGGACAAGUGUAUGAGCUCAUCCAAUCAAUCAUUACACAAUGGACAACAAAAUACAAAACACAGCACUCAAUGCGAGUCAAUGUAGCCCGUUACACCGCCUUCAUGGAGGUGCCGUGUGUUAUCUUAUCUACACAGGCUGUGUCAAAUUUGCCUUCGUGCAGUGAGUUGGAUCCAGAAUCAGAAAUGCUUUGAUGCAAAUUUUAUGGAAUUGUCACGGUUAGCACUGGCAGACCGUGGGGAUGUGGGGAAUGAGGACCCAAAUGCAGGACUCUGGUGAUGAUGACAGUGCGUUUUAUUUACAGUGCAGACAAUAAAGAUAACCAAUAAAUCCCUGUGUGUUCCCGACUCCCGUUCCGUGUUUCCUCUUCGUGCCUGUAAUACGUGUCUCCACUACCUGUGUACCAUCCAACCGCUGCUUCCUUGUUCCCACAAAUCCUCCUGAGGAAACACACACAAAGGCAGCCUUUAGAAUACUCCACAACCUGCAGACUGAUUGCUAAGUGUCAAACAGGUGCUUGACUGCUUCACUAUAUGCUUCACUGAGCUCAUACUGAUCUGGGUAGUUUUUAGUAGCUAGGAAGAGGUGAUUUCUGUUUGGUUACCAUAGCUACAACAGUGGGUUUUGACUGCUUGAAUGACAUCUGUUUUAACUGUUUUGAAAAAGGGUGGGGAAAAUGUGUCAAUCCAACGAGAAAGGGUUAACACAUUUGCAAGUUGUCUUCUGCUCUGCUAAUAUAGUGACGAUGAAAACUGAGUGGAUCCCAGUUUCUUUAGGCAGGUCAAAGCAAUCAAGAAAAAAUGUAACAUGUGUGCUGUGUGUGUGUGUUUGUGUGUACCAAAGUUUAGGUUGCUUUAUGCGGCCCAAAAGUUGGAAUGCCACUAUAUUUGUGGGGACCAACAGCCCUUAUGGGGACAUUUUGAAGGCAUUUUUUAGAUUAAAAAUGUGGUUUUAGUGACAGGCUUACAGUUAGAUUAUAGUUAGGUUUAGGCUCGGGGUUAGGGUUAAGUAUUUAUUGUGAUGGGUGGGGUUAGGGUAAGCAGCUAGGGAAAGCAUUAUAUCAGGUAGAUGUGCCCACAAAGAUAUGAAAACACGACUGUGUGUGUGUGUGUGUGUUUGUGUAUUUAAUAUGUGUGCUGUGUCUUAGUGCGGAGCUGGAAGUAUUAUGUUGGAAGUUUAGAGCACUGCCAGAUUCUACCCCUUUCACCCUGUGAACUUGUUGCCAUGGUAACGGUAACCGGCUGUGCUGCUCUGUGCUCUCAGCAUCCUUCGCUGCAGUGAUGUGUGUGUGUGUAAAUUUAUGCUUUGCUUCUUGGUGGUGGGGUUAAAAACAGGCCUUAGACGGUGUUCCUCCCUCUGUGCUCGACGUCACCGAUGACUGUGGCGGUGCAGAUCAUUAACAGCGACACGCACUGAUGGAGCCUUUCCAGAUGUGCCAGCUGUCAGCUCCAUAGGCAUUGAUGUCUUACAGUUCCAGCUGGGUUUGUAAAAAUCAGACACAGGUGGAAACAAGCAGCGAAUCAGGAGGCAGGAAGUCAAUCCAUAGCAGACAGGGAACAAAGACAAAGGCACUAACACGCAGACGAGACAGACGCCAACAUUAGAAACAUGAGGAAUAAUAUAAAAGCCCAGAAAUACUUUACAACAAACUGAGCAAAACAUUUCAAACUGAGACACAGAAAUGUUGUAAUAAAGCUCAGGCUCAACAGCUAACACCGUUGUUUCUGAGGCUGGGAGUUUCUCUGGUUGUCAGUGGUGCCAGUUUCCUGUUUAAAUAAAAGUUUUAAAGUGCGACUGCAUCCAAACGUGCUCUGUGAGUGAACAAGUGACACAGAGACAGUCCCGGUAAUGCUCGGACUAAGACACGGUAUUUAAAUGUGCUCUGUGCUGGAGCUUCAGACUCCAAACCAAACCAAAAUGCUGAAACAUGUUCAAACUGAUGCUGAAAGAAGAGGAAGUGGAGGUCAAAAUAGAUACCAUCAAAAACACGCUGACUGACGUGGGAAAGCAGCUGCUGGAAGAAA